CCCCUUCCUCUUUAUUCCCUAUUUCCUCUCCAAUCUCUAAAAUUCCCAACUUAUAGGCUUUCUGCCUCUUUUUUACCUCUGAGAUUCGUCCCUCCGGUAAGACCCGCUGCACCGCCGCCGUCUUCGAUGCACCACCGGCCUCUCCAUCCCAGGUAUGUCCCUUCUUUCUCCCUCUCAAUCCUUCUCUCUUCCCCCUCUCUGCUUAUUUUCUAUCUCUCUCUCUGUCUGCCCCCUCUUGGUCUCUCGCUCAUCUCCCUCCCUUCCCUCUGUUGGCAGCCGCCGCGGACCACUGUGGCGUGAGCAGCGCCGGCGGUCGCGGCCGUCAGUCGCACCCCACCGCGGUGGCUCGCUGCUGCAGCUGCUGCCCUUCUCUUCUUCUCCUAUUUUUUUUUAUUUUUCUUUAUUCAUCUAUUAGCCCACGUUUGGUUGGGUGUUUUUAGAGGUUGGAAAGGGAAUCAAGUAAUUAAAUCCAUUACUUAUUGUUUGGUUUGGAUAAUGAGAUAAUCAUUACGGUAAUCCAAUCACUCAAUUUGUUACCCCUCAAAAUAGAGGGAAAACAAAAGAAAGAAAAUCUCUUACUAAUGAUUCCUUUCCAUUAAACCAAACACUCAAUAAAAGUAAUGGUUAUUGUUACCAUUUCACUCCUUUAUUUGAUUCCAUUCUCUUUUCAUUUCUCUACUUGAACCAAACGAGCACUUAAAAUAUAUGGCGAUCUCAUAAAUUGGUGCUCAUCGAUGAACAUCGCCAGUUGGAGGCGUCAUUGGUUCGAUGAGAUAGCCUUGCUUCUUAUUACUGUUGUUCGAACUUUCUAUCUUUGUAUUUAUUCAGGAUCUCUUUGACAAAACUGGAAUUUCUUGUAAAUAACUUAUUCGAUCUAGAUGCUAAGAAAAAUUGGUGUUAUUGCUUGAUAUAGAUAUUGUCCAUUUCUUGUGUU
rnacentral:lncRNA from 1 species